GAUUCCCAUCUGUGACUUGAUAAAUAUUUGAUGCAGUGGCCAGUCAACAUCCCUACAUUAGUGAAACUUCUGCCCAGGAGCAACUGUACAGCUCUCAGCAAUGAGAUCGGAUGCUUCCACAGCUCAGAUUUUCCUGACAGUCCUAAGCGAUGUCCUUCCAUGAUGUUUGCAGAACAACCCACGAUUCCUCAUGACGUUUGGAUAAAGUCAUCUACUGUGUUUAGAACAGAGGGCAAGAGAUGCAGAGAAACGUUUCCUGUGGCCUGAAUGGUGUAGGUCACCAGCGUGGACUCUAGGACUGUGGCUGCUCCGUGUCAGCAGAGGGUACCGGAUCCCUUAAUAAAUUUACCUUUGCAUUGUG